rnacentral:rRNA from 1 species
UACGGAAGGGGCAAGCGUUGUUCGGAAUCAUUGGGCGUAAAGGGCGCGUAGGUGGUUUUGUAUGUCUACCGUGAAAGCGUACGGCUCAACCGUAUUUUGUCGGUGGAAACUGCAGGACUUGAGGCUGGGAGGGGCUGGUGGAAUUCCCUGUGUAGCGGUGAAAUGCGUAGAGAUGGGGGAGAACACUCGUGGCGAAGGCGGCCAGCUAGACCAGUUCUGACACUGAGGCGCGACAGCGUGGGGAGCGAACAGG